ensembl:lncRNA
AGAGGCAAUGAUGGGCUGUGGAAGGCUUUCAUGGCCAGAAUCACUGGGUUGCUCACUGGGUUGCUGUGAGUUUUCUGGGCAGUAUGGCCAUGUUCCAGAAGCAUUCUCUCCUGACGUUUUGCCCACAUGUAUGGCAGGCAUCUUGAAAGGUUGUGAGGUAUAUUGGAAACUAGGUGAGUGAGGUUUAUAUAUCUGUGGAAGGCCCAGAGUGGGAGAAAGGGUCCCUUUGGGUGAGAAGGGCGGGAUACAAAUGUUGGAAAUGGAAAUAAAAAUAACUCUUGUUUGGGUUGUUGUUUGAGGCAAGUGUGAAUGUUGCAAUUAAUCACCUUGAUUAGCACUGAAAAGCCUCGCAGCUUCAAAGCCUGGCUGAUUCCUACCUGGGGGAGCCCUUUGUUGGGAGGUGUUAGCUGGCCCUGAUUGAUUCCUGUCUGGAAUUCUUCUGUUUUUUUUUCCAGAGGGCUGUUCUUUAUUUACUGUCCUGAUUUUAGAGUUUUUUAAGAAUACCGGUAGCCAAAUUUUGUGCAUUUUCAGGGUUUCCUCCCUUCUGUUGAAAUUGUCCACAUGCUUAUGGAUUUCAAUGGCUUCUCUGUGUACACAUGGUGGUUGUGAGAGUGGUCUAGCAUUUCUGUGUUCUCAAAUAUUAUAUACUGUGUCCAGGUUGGUUCAUCAAGGGCUCUGCUCUGGCUGACUUCUCUAGCUGAGUUAGUCUGCAGUGCCUUACAUGUUCCUUGAGGCAAAGAGUUAAUACCUGGCGAGAGGAAGUGACGCCACAGGAGGGCGGGUUCAAGCUCCAGCCACUCACCUGGAGGAGGCGUGCGCUGCCGGGGCGAUGGCGGCUGCGGUGGACUGCAUUGUGAAACUGGGCGGCGGCGCUUUGACGCACAAGAAGCAGCUGGAGACGCCGAAAUUGGAAGCGCUGCGGAGGGCGGCCGCUCUGGUCGGGAAGCUCUAUGGCGCCGGAGAGAGGCGCUGCAUUGUCGUCCACGGGGCCGGCUCAUUUGGACAUUUCCAGGCAAAACAACAUAAUGUUGCUUCAGGGACCUCAGAAGGAUCAGCUGCAAGUCUCAGUUUAAGACAAGGACUGUGCUUGACCAGGCUUUCUGUCACAAAGACAUUUGGAACCUGGAAAACAGCAUCCAAGAAUGUCACUCAGGAUGGGAUUGAUGCGGUAAAAGAAGCUUUAGAUGCAGGUUAUGUGCCAGUUUUACAUGGAGAUUGUGCUCUGGAUUCAGAACAACAUUGCUGUGUCUUAUCUGGAGAUACCAUUAUUGAGGUUCUAGCUAAGAAGUUCUCUCCUAGGCGAGUUGUGUUUCUCACAGACGUGAAUGGAAUUUUUAGCUGUCCGCCUGACACACCAGGUGCUAAACUUCUAGAUCACAUUAUUAUUCAUCCUAAUGGAACUAUGGAACCACACAUUCUUACAUCUGUGCUUCCACAUGACACUACUGGAGGUAUAUCUAUGAAGUUACAAGCUUCUAUACACAUAGUUUCUCAGAGCCGUGGAGAUGUUCCCGUUCUCAUCUGCAAGCUGGACAGUGAUGCAGCUGAAAGGGCUUGCCUGACAGGGGAGUUGAUGGAAGGUGAAGGUACAAAGCUUUUCUUCAAGGAAGCAUGAAGGUAUCUCUGCAAGAACAUUAAAUUAAGCAAAAGGCAAGUUUAAUCAAGGUGGUACAAUUUGGAUAUUGUGAUCAUUUGUAGAAUUUCACAUGACAGUCACAGUCAAUUCCAAAUAUCUUGAAUUAUGGAUUCUCUGUUACUCUAUUUACUUUGAAAUGAAUGUGGUGACAUGUAAGCCACCACUAUUAAUUUUUACCAUUUUACAAAUAUUUUUCAAAUAUUCUUUCCAUUCCAUGUGUGCUGUCAAGAGAAGUUUGGAAAGAAGCUGUAAAUUUGUUAAACUACAUAGCUACAAAGCUCUACACAAUUAGAUUCUCUUAAUGCGUACAUUCAUCUCCUUUGAGAAACUUUCCCAUCAAUACUUAAAAAUCAAGACUGAUGUGGGCAGAAUUGGAUAUGGCAUCAUCCUGGGAAUGGAUAACAUUGGUAGAUCUGGAGCUAUCUCCACCUCUCCUGGUUGAAAACCCACUUUGUUUUUCAGCUCCAUGUUUUUAUGUCAAAACAAGACAUGCAAGAUAAAGGAAAGGCUUUCAGGAUAGUGCUUGUCCAUUUCAGAUUUUUAGGAAUGGUUCUGAAGCCUGUAUAAUUAUAGGCAGAGGCAAAGAUGGAUUGUGCUGUUCUGUGAAAGAAAUUUCAGAUUUUGGAAAAGAAAAUGUGAGAAUUAGAUGAGGAAAGUAACAUUGAAUAUCCAGUCUGCCAAUCUGUUUUUGAGUGUACUUAGUGGUGUGCAUAAUUUCAUUUUUUCUUUGUAUUUCAUAUCAAAUUCAUUAAAUUUGUGCAUAUGAAUCGAUAUUGGAAACAUGAAGGAAAAGUGUUUUUUUUUUUAGGGGGUGUGUGUGUUAAGAACUGAAACACUCACCAGUCAUUUGUUAAGAUUCUGUAACAUUUGGAUGCCUCCCAAGGUCAGUUUAGUUUUCAGUUUAACCAUUAAGCAACUUUGGUAAAACCAAGAAAACAUGAAGCAUUUUAAAAACCAGUCCUUUUUCUUUGGCCCAAUCAUCAUAAGCAAAGGCACUAGGGACAGGACUAGCAAAGUUAAUGAGCAGGAGACUGAGAACAUAGCCAUCUUAAAUGUAGUUUGGGAAGAUGAGCCCCCUGUGGCUGGGAAUGCAAGAGGCUCUGUCCUAAACUAUAUUUCCCAGAAUGAAGGGUUCAGCAUCAGAAAACCCCAAUGAGGGCUGCUGUUUAAGCAGCCAGCUGUUUAGAGUCAGUCUAAUAAUAAUAAAUUAUUGAAUCUACAAAGAGGACUAAAGUAACUAGUGUGCUAAGUUGAAGUUAUGUCAUUGUGUGUCAUAAAGACUGACAGGCAUUCAAGGGGAUUGCUGUUGUCGCUAUUUUGGGGAUAAAUUGUUUUUGUCUAAACUUUUAAAAAUCCCUGUAGAUGUGUGAAUCUUUUUGAAACUUCUAGGGAUUGAUGCCCUGGUUAUCGUGUGUAUUGUGUAUAAAAUUCAAGUAGAUCGCUCUUGUGUUUUUUUUUAAUGUUUAUAAAAACUUUGAACAUUUCAAAAAAACCUGUGGAUAAGUGAUACAUUCUGAAAUUUGGUGGGCUAACAGUGGUAAAUGUGUUCUACCACUGUAGCAAGUUUCACCCCAAUUGCUUUAAAAAUGAGGGAGAUAGAAGCCCCUGAAGUUUCUCCAGUUAUAGUAAUUUAAUUAUGAGCAUGUGCAAUUACUGUAACGAAAUAGCCAUGAAAUUUUGUUACUGUCAUUAUAGUAAUGAUUUUUUUUCACAAACUAUACUUUAGAAACACUUUAGAAACAAAAUGUCAGUGCCCACAGCUUUGUAAUGAUUUUUUAACCAUUUUUUAAAAUGGAUCGUACAUCUCUAAGUGUACUCUUAUUGCAGCAAGCUUAUGGUAUCAACAUUGCAGAUACAGAUUCAUUCUUCCUAAAUGGCAGACAGACAAUUUUAUUUUUUCUUUAAAAAGUCUGAAGUAUAGGUUGAAAUUUGAUGAAAAGAGGGAGGCUUUGAAGGAUUAAAAAGAUACUAAGCAAGUCUAAGAAAAGAGAAGGGACAAGAAAGCUACAGACUAGGUGUUGACAAAUUGUUUCACUGAAACAAGAUACCAUUUCAUAGAAUCAUACAGUCACCAGGGUUUCCACUUAAUGCAGGUAAUUCAACUAGAGCAUCCCCAGCAGGUAGCUGUCUAUCAUCUUUUUGACAACCAGAGAAAAAGGCCCCCAUCAGCUCUCUAGUUAAUUUAUUCCAUUGCUGAACAUCUCUCACUGUCAAGAAGUUUCUUCUAAUGUUCAGUUAAAAUCUACCAUUGUGUAAUUUAAAACCAUUAGACCUGGUCCUACCCUCCAGAGCAGUAGAGAAUAAACCUAUAUUGUCUUCUCUGUGAUAACCCUUGAGAUAUUGAAAGAGUGCAGUCUUGUUAUCCCUCAGUGUUUAAUUCACUAGAAUGAAUAUCUCCAAGUCUUUUCUGUACAUGCUUAUUUGAAUAGCUGCUGGCCUGGACACCUCAGGCAGCUUGCGCAAGAUUCGGAUGUAGCUAUGUGAGCUGAGAUAUAUGGGCAUCCUGGCAGGUCAGCAGUUCAGAGGGUAUUAGUGAAAGCAAGAGUGAUGUCAUGCAGCUUUGGUUCAUCUAUUUAUAGCUCACCACAUAUAGUAUAGGUAAUCACACUUAAGGUGACAGAAUUCAACUAGGUGUUGAACUUUAAGUCCAAGUGAGAUAGCUCUUUAGAAUGUUAUUUAUGGAUAAAAUCCUACUUUCAAUGGCUUGCUUUCCUAUGGAUGUUAUUUUGUUAAAUCUAUUUCUAGGAAGAAAGGACUAAGGUGUUUUCUCUCUCAGCAAUGCCAGCUCUGAAUUGAGGCCAUUUUACAUUGUGAUAUACCAGCACAACUAAAGGGGGAAUAUGAAUGCCAUUUAAAUAUAUAAUUUUAGAGCAUCUUGAAGCACGUCCCUAAUUUCAUAAUCUCAUGUUACUGUGUGCGUCUUGGGGUGCAGCAGUUCUUCUUUUUUUAAAAAAAUAAUAUUUUUUUAUUGAGUUUUCAAGUAAAAUUUACAGUAAGUGUUUAAGAACACAUUGGGUUCUUAGAAGAAAAAGUGCAAUGAGUAAGUAGAAAUUGAAGAAAGAGAGAAGAAAAAGAAAAAAAAAUUAAAAAGAAGAAGAGAAAGAAAAAAAGGAAAGGAAAUUAAAAUAAACAGAAAUAUAAUACAAUUGGUCGCUUCCAUCUCUUACACAGAUACUUAAAAAAAAUUUCUAUCUUUAAUUAGUCUUUCCGUUCGUUCUGCUUUGGUGUCAGCCUCUUUUUUUUAUCUUCCAUCAUUAU